GGUAGCGCCGGGCUGGCAGGCGGGGUAAGAGGGGGGGGGCGAGCGGUGUCCGGAAUCACUGGGCGUAAAGGGCGCGUAGGCGGUUCGUUAAGUUGCUGGUGAAAUCCCGGGGCUCAACGCCGGGGCUGCCGGCAAGACUGGCGAGCUAGAGCACGGUAGAGGCAGAUGGAAUUCCCGGUGUAGCGGUGGAAUGCGUAGAUAUCGGGAAGAAUACCGGUGGCGAAGGCGUUCUGCUGGGCCGUUGUUGACGCUGAGGCGCGACAGCGUGGGGAGCAAACAGGAUUAGAUACCCUAGUAGUC
rnacentral:rRNA from 1 species